AGCGUACACGGUGGAUGCCCUGGCAGUCAGAGGCGAUGAAGGGCGUGCUAAUCUGCGAUAAGCGCCGGUAAGGUGAUAUGAACCGUUAUAACCGGCGAUACCCGAAUGGGGAAACCCAGUGUGACUCGUCACACUAUCAUUAACUGAAUCCAUAGGUUAAUGAGGCGAACCGGGGGAACUGAAACAUCUAAGUACCCCGAGGAAAAGAAAUCAACCGAGAUUCCCCCAGUAGCGGCGAGCGAACGGGGAGGAGCCCAGAGCCUGAAUCAGCAUGUGUGUUAGUGGAAGCGUCUGGAAAGGCGCGCGAUACAGGGUGACAGCCCCGUACACAAAAGCGCAUGUGCUGUGAGCUCGAUGAGUAGGGCGGGACACGUGGUAUCCUGUCUGAAUAUGGGGGGACCAUCCUCCAAGGCUAAAUACUCCUGACUGACCGAUAGUGAACCAGUACCGUGAGGGAAAGGCGAAAAGAACCCCGGCGAGGGGAGUGAAAAAGAACCUGAAACCGUGUACGUACAAGCAGUGGGAGCACAGGUUUACCUGUGUGACUGCGUACCUUUUGUAUAAUGGGUCAGCGACUUAUAUUCUGUAGCAAGGUUAACCGUAUAGGGGAGCCGUAGGGAAACCGAGUCUUAACCGGGCGUUAAGUUGCAGGGUAUAGACCCGAAACCCGGUGAUCUAGCCAUGGGCAGGUUGAAGGUUGGGUAACACUAACUGGAGGACCGAACCGACUAAUGUUGAAAAAUUAGCGGAUGACCUGUGGCUGGGGGUGAAAGGCUAAUCAAACCGGGAGAUAGCUGGUUCUCCCCGAAAGCUAUUUAGGUAGCGCCUCGUGAAUUCAUCUCCGGGGGUAGAGCACUGUUUCGGCUAGGGGGCCAUCCCGGCUUACCAACCCGAUGCAAACUGCGAAUACCGGAGAAUGUUAUCACGGGAGACACACGGCGGGUGCUAACGUCCGUCGUGAAGAGGGAAACAACCCAGACCGCCAGCUAAGGUCCCAAAGUCAUGGUUAAGUGGGAAACGAUGUGGGAAGGCCCAGACAGCCAGGAUGUUGGCUUAGAAGCAGCCAUCAUUUAAAGAAAGCGUAAUAGCUCACUGGUCGAGUCGGCCUGCGCGGAAGAUGUAACGGGGCUAAACCAUGCACCGAAGCUGCGGCAGCGACGCUGAUGCGUUGUUGGGUAGGGGAGCGUUCUGUAAGCCUGUGAAGGUGGCCUGUGAGGGUUGCUGGAGGUAUCAGAAGUGCGAAUGCUGACAUAAGUAACGAUAAAGCGGGUGAAAAGCCCGCUCGCCGGAAGACCAAGGGUUCCUGUCCAACGUUAAUCGGGGCAGGGUGAGUCGACCCCUAAGGCGAGGCCGAAAGGCGUAGUCGAUGGGAAACGGGUUAAUAUUCCCGUACUUGGUGUUACUGCGAAGGGGGGACGGAGAAGGCUAUGUUGGCCGGGCGACGGUUGUCCCGGUUUAAGCGUGUAGGUGUGUGUUCCAGGUAAAUCCGGUUCACUUUAACACUGAGGCGUGAUGACGAGGCACUACGGUGCUGAAGCAACAAAUGCCCUGCUUCCAGGAAAAGCCUCUAAGCAUCAGGUAACAUCAAAUCGUACCCCAAACCGACACAGGUGGUCAGGUAGAGAAUACCAAGGCGCUUGAGAGAACUCGGGUGAAGGAACUAGGCAAAAUGGUGCCGUAACUUCGGGAGAAGGCACGCUGACACGUAGGUGAAGUGAUUUACUCACGGAGCUGAAGUCAGUCGAAGAUACCAGCUGGCUGCAACUGUUUAUUAAAAACACAGCACUGUGCAAACACGAAAGUGGACGUAUACGGUGUGACGCCUGCCCGGUGCCGGAAGGUUAAUUGAUGGGGUCAGCGCAAGCGAAGCUCCUGAUCGAAGCCCCGGUAAACGGCGGCCGUAACUAUAACGGUCCUAAGGUAGCGAAAUUCCUUGUCGGGUAAGUUCCGACCUGCACGAAUGGCGUAAUGAUGGCCAGGCUGUCUCCACCCGAGACUCAGUGAAAUUGAACUCGCUGUGAAGAUGCAGUGUACCCGCGGCAAGACGGAAAGACCCCGUGAACCUUUACUAUAGCUUGACACUGAACAUUGAGCCUUGAUGUGUAGGAUAGGUGGGAGGCUUUGAAGUGUGGACGCCAGUCUGCAUGGAGCCGACCUUGAAAUACCACCCUUUAAUGUUUGAUGUUCUAACGUGGACCCGUGAUCCGGGUUGCGGACAGUGUCUGGUGGGUAGUUUGACUGGGGCGGUCUCCUCCUAAAGAGUAACGGAGGAGCACGAAGGUUGGCUAAUCCUGGUCGGACAUCAGGAGGUUAGUGCAAUGGCAUAAGCCAGCUUGACUGCGAGCGUGACGGCGCGAGCAGGUGCGAAAGCAGGUCAUAGUGAUCCGGUGGUUCUGAAUGGAAGGGCCAUCGCUCAACGGAUAAAAGGUACUCCGGGGAUAACAGGCUGAUACCGCCCAAGAGUUCAUAUCGACGGCGGUGUUUGGCACCUCGAUGUCGGCUCAUCACAUCCUGGGGCUGAAGUAGGUCCCAAGGGUAUGGCUGUUCGCCAUUUAAAGUGGUACGCGAGCUGGGUUUAGAACGUCGUGAGACAGUUCGGUCCCUAUCUGCCGUGGGCGCUGGAGAACUGAGGGGGGCUGCUCCUAGUACGAGAGGACCGGAGUGGACGCAUCACUGGUGUUCGGGUUGUCAUGCCAAUGGCACUGCCCGGUAGCUAAAUGCGGAAGAGAUAAGUGCUGAAAGCAUCUAAGCACGAAACUUGCCCCGAGAUGAGUUCU
rnacentral:rRNA from 1 species